rnacentral:rRNA from 1 species
AAGGGCACCACAAGAACGCGUGGAGCAUGUGGCUUAAUUUGACUCAACGCGGGAAACUUACCGGGUCCGGACAUACUUAGGAUUGACAGGAUAAUUGCGAUUAGUAUAUUAACUUUUACGUGUAAUUUUGCUGGUUCUUUCAUGAUUGUGUGAUAGGUGGUGCAUGGCCGUUCUUAGUUCGUGGAGUGAUUUGUUUGCUUUAUUGCGUUUUUUAUAAGACUUAAAUCAAUAUGUAUAUAUUUUCGUUUUGUAUUGGAUUUUUAUUUAGGUUUUUUAAAUAUAUGUAUACUUUAUAUUGAAGAAAUAUUAAAAGAUAUUUUAAUAUUUUUAUAUUUAGAGUAAAUAUGUAUGUUUUUUUGAUUGUGAUGGAAAAUCGAUAUUUGAAUUUUUGUGUGUAUUAAGUCUUGAAAGCAACGAACGAUAUUGAAUUUUCUUCUUUUUGUUGUUUUUGUUUAAUUGAUUUUUAUGUAUUUUUGAUGUGUAAAUUUUGAUCAAUAAUUAAGAGAGACAGCUGUGUUAUUUAAUAUAUUUUUUUAACUAAAUGAAGGUUACGGCAAAAACAGGUCUGUGAUGCCCUUAGAUGUUCCGGGCUGCACAUGUGCUACAAUGAUUAUUGCAGUGAGUAUUUUCAUUUUGAUAAUUCUGAAGCAUUGAAAUAAUUUAAUGGUCAGUCUAACCUACUGCGAAAGUAUAGUAGGUAAUCAAUAGGAAGUGGUAAUUGUUUUCUUUCGAAUGAUUUUUUGAUUUUGUUUGUAUAAAUAUAUUAAUAUUUUUAAUUACUGUAUAAUGUAUAGAAUAGUUUUUCAAUUGUUAUUAUAGUUAAUUAAAUAUGUUUUUAGUAUUAUUUGUUAAUUCUUGGUGGGGACAGACCAUUGUUAAUUGUUGGUCUCGGUCUUAACUAGGAAUGCCUUGUACGGGUUUUGGUUCAACAAACCA